AUUGAACGCUGGCGGCAUGCCUUACACAUGCAAGUCGAACGGCAGCACGGGAGCAAUCCUGGUGGCGAGUGGCGAACGGGUGAGUAAUAUAUCGGAACGUGCCCAGUCGUGGGGGAUAACGUAGCGAAAGCUACGCUAAUACCGCAUACGAUCUAUGGAUGAAAGCGGGGGAUCGCAAGACCUCGCGCGAUUGGAGCGGCCGAUAUCAGAUUAGGUAGUUGGUGAGGUAAAGGCUCACCAAGCCGACGAUCUGUAGCUGGUCUGAGAGGACGACCAGCCACACUGGGACUGAGACACGGCCCAGACUCCUACGGGAGGCAGCAGUGGGGGAAUUUUUGGACAAUGGGCGCAAGCCUGAUCCAGCAAUGCCGCGUGCAGGA
rnacentral:rRNA from 1 species